GAUGAACGCUGGCGGCGUGCUUAACACAUGCAAGUCGAACGGACUUAUCAUGAAGCCCAGCGAUUGAUAAGUUAGUGGCGGACGGGUGAGUAACGCGUGGGUAACCUGCCUCACACUGGGGGAUAACACUUAGAAAUAGGUGCUAAUACCGCAUAAGCGCACGGUACUGCAUGGUACAGUGUGAAAAACUCCGGUGGUGUGAGAUGGACCCGCGUCUGAUUAGCUGGUUGGUGGGGUAACGGCCCACCAAGGCGACGAUCAGUAGCCGGCCUGAGAGGGUGAACGGCCACAUUGGGACUGAGACACGGCCCAA
rnacentral:rRNA from 1 species